CAACGCCGCGUGAGUGAUGAAGGCUUUCGGGUCGUAAAACUACUGUUGUUAGGGAAGAACAAGUACAAGAGUAACUGCUUGUACCUUGACGGUACCUAACCAGAAAGCCACGGCUAACUACGUGCCAGCAGCCGCGGUAAUACGUAGGUGGCAAGCGUUAUCCGGAAUUAUUGGGCGUAAAGCGCGCGCAGGCGGUUUCUUAAGUCUGAUGUGAAAGCCCACGGCUCAACCGUGGAGGGUCAUUGGAAACUGGGGAACUUGAGUGCAGAAGAGAAAAGCGGAAUUCCACGUGUAGCGGUGAAAUGCGUAGAGAUGUGGAGGAACACCAGUGGCGAAGGCGGCUUUUUGGUCUGUAACUGACGCUGAGGCGCGAAAGCGUGGGGAGCAAACAGGAUUAGAUACCCUGGUAGUCCACGCCGUAAACGAUGAGUGCUAAGUGUUAGAGGGUUUCCGCCCUUUAGUGCUGCAGCUAACGCAUUAAGCACUCCGCCUGGGGAGUACGGUCGCAAGACUG
rnacentral:rRNA from 1 species